rnacentral:pre_miRNA from 1 species
CAACUACUCCCUCUGUCCCAAAUUUCUUGUCUUAGAUUUGUCUAGAUACGGAUGUAUCUAAUACUAAAAUGUGACUUGAGACAUCUGUAUCUAGACAAAUCUAAGACAAGAAUUUUGGGACGGAGGGAGUACUUU